UGUGGUGUUGCUCAGAGGUAGAGCAUUUGCCUAGCAUGUGUGAGGCCCUGGGUUCCUUCCUCAGCACCACAU
rnacentral:tRNA from 1 species